UACGUAGGGGGCAAGCGUUGUCCGGAAUUAUUGGGCGUAAAGAGCGUGUAGGCGGCCAGAUAAGUCCGCUGUGAAAUCUCGAGGCUCAACUUCGAGCUGUCGGUGGAAACUAUCUGGCUAGAGUCCGGAAGAGGAGAAUGGAAUUCCUGGUGUAGCGGUGAAAUGCGCAGAUAUCAGGAGGAACACCAAUGGCGAAGGCAGCACUCUGGGACGUGACUGACGCUGAGACGCGAAAGCGUGGGGAGCAAACAGG
rnacentral:rRNA from 1 species